AUUUCAUUUCAUAAUUUAUUUCUUUGAUUGAUGUUCAUAACUAGGUCUUCACGUGAAUGACUCCAUACAACUUAGGGAGGGCUGUAUGUGUUUCUUGAAAAUGGAAGUAUACUAUUCACCAUCUGGUCUUUUGGCACAGCGCAUGCCUAGAAGCUUGGUUCCAAAAAUGAAGUAGAUACAAAUUUCAAGUGGAGCUAUUUGUUUACAAGUCCAACUUGAAAGUGAUCCAAUUUCUAUUUGGAGCCUAGUUCUUCAAUUUGAAUACUGAGAAAGGUAAUUACUAAACAUGCUCCUGAUCAUGUACUAGAAUUUCAAGAGAUCUGCUGAUGUUGAUAACAUCUUCAAUCAGAUUGAUGGAUUUGAUCUCGUUGCAUGGAAUUGCAUGAUCUCUAGCUACAUCUAAGUGUGCCGGCUUGACGAUGCUCGUUGCCUGUUUGACGAAAUGUCUGAUAGAAACAGUCUCUUAGACAGCAUUUAAAGGUCUGCUGAACUUGGUUCGGAAAACCACGCUAUCAUCUUUUACAUACCUUUGUGAGAAAAAUGGUGAUUCUCUGUAUAACAAGGUAAUUUGUUAAGUGCUGAAAAGGCUCUUCUCUGAUGCAUACCUUGUUUAGUUGUGCCAUUAAUUUUGCUAGUGAUCAUAGUUUGUUGCCUUUAUUAGAUAAAUAGAGCUAUAAAGUUUAAAGGGAUGGGUAGUGAAUAGUGGACGAGUGAGCCUCUCCUUGCUCUCUUUAACUAGAUAUAUGGCAGUUUCACUAGUGUCCCUAUUGAGUAAUUGGUUGUUCUCUCAAUCAUCUGUCAGAUGCUAUGUUGAAUGCUGCAUUUGUUUCCUUGCUUAUAUGUAAAAUUGAUGUUUCAUUUCUAAGGCAUUUACCCUUCAUUUAGUUUCAUGGUUCAGAAUCGGAUAAUGAUGUUUUAUGUGUUAGCCCGAUCUAUGCAUCAAUGGAAGUAAGUUCAUGUACAUGCCUUUUGAUUUGCUCCUUAGUUGUCUAAGGUGGAAAUUUAUCCCUUUAAUAUGUUAUUUCAUAACUGUGGUAGGACUUUUUUAUUGUUCUAUGCAAUAUGCUUCAAAGUAGACUAGAAGUAUCAGAGCUUCACUGUGUCAAGAUGCAAAAGUUCUUUUAAUGCAUUUCAAAUUCAAUGGGACCCUAAUUGAUCUUCCCUAUGCUCAGCUUUCAGUAAUUUCAGUUCCUGAGGUAACUUUCUUGAUUUUGCAUUCCCUUUUAGAACUGUUGUAGAAAGCCUUGUGUUUCUCUAAGACUGCAAAAUUUUUCCCUUGAUUAACAAGAAAAUUUUAUUCAAAGAGAAAGGAAAAGAUAAUGGACAACAAUUGAGAAGAAUUAACAAACACAAGCAAUUUUCCUAGACACUCCCAAGCAAGCCCAUCUGAUGAUGAAUUCAUUUCCUGGAAAUAUGGAUGGAACUGUUGGGAAAGAGGGUGCCUAAGACUUUCUCGUGGGAAAGAAGCUACCUAAAAUCUAGGAUUUGGUGGAGGUGCCAAAUAAUGGUCAGUCAAUCUUGUUUAUACAUUAACCUUUCUUAUCCAUUAACUUCAUGUACUCUCUCUUUUUCUUUUGUUACUAAUAAAUUUACAUUGUAGGAGGAAAGAGGGCCAUACAUCAACCUUGAUGUGAAAAAGUAAAAGUUGGUUAAUUUCUUCAUAGGCAAGAAGAAGACCUCUUUGAUAACCAUUACCUUAAGAAUGAUGUCAUUUUAUCUGAAGUGGCAUCUGCCCUAAUGUCACUUGACAUCUAGAGUGAGCUCUCAAAAGAAUAUACAUUUUUUUUCUCUUAAGGUUUGUUAUGUACAGAAUGUGAAAAUGCAUAGAUGUAUCUAAUUACAUGCAUAUAUUGUAAUGGCCAAAGCGUAUAUAUCUCUUAUGGGACUAUUGAGGCUUGAGAGCAUGCUUGAUAAGCUAAUUCUUUUUAUCAUUAUAUUUAUUUAUGCUUGAGCUUUCUCCUUCAGCUGAAACUAUCAUAUUCGCAUUUCGAAACAAGAUCUUGAUGUCGAGAACUAGCGUAAUGAUUCCAUCAAUGCUUGUUCCAGCAAUGGGAGGAACCAGUGGUGACAAGAUACAUGUCAUACAAACUCUGCUAUUUGUAUCCGAUGUAAAUACACUUCUACAAGUAUUGGUUGGAACACGAUUGCUAACAGUAAAAAAUAGUGUGGUGGCAGGGGCAAUGAUAGGAGCGGCAUUGGUGCUCUCUUACGAGGACACCUCUCAUGAGUAAGUUAUUCAUUGCGCCAUCACUGGAGCAGCGCUCUCAACAGCUGUGAAUCUUCUCGCCGAGGUCUUCUAGAUCUUACUCAUCUUUAUUUAGUCUCCUUUGAAAUCUCUCUCUCUCUAUGGGUUUUGUGUCCUUGGAGAGAAAGGAAGUUCUUCCUUCAUAUGAGGCAUGUGAUGUUUGGAACUUUGAACAAUCUAUGUUCUAAGAACUUGCAUUUCCUUCAUUUUGAGUAAGUUUUGACUAACUAGGCAUCUGAGUUUCUUUAGGAGAGGAGAUGAUCUUCUAGCAAGAUUCAGACAACAACAUAUUGUUUUAAAUAAGCAUCAUAUAGUACAUAUGAGAAAAUACUAUUUGCUUAGAUUGCAGAUGGAAUCUGAUGCAUGUUCUAUCUUUUCUUUAAAAUCCGUAGUAUACUUGCAUUAUCACUUUCCUUGCGGGUGAAACGUACCUUUUCUGUUCUUAAUGAAUAGCUACUAAUUCGUAAUUUGUGCAAGCUUGCUGAUUUCCUUGUUUGGAAGUUCUUUGCUCAACUAGAUAUGAGUUCUAGGCCAGCUCUUUGCAUUUUCACUGACAGCCACAACAAAACUAGUGAAUUAUAGUUUUCCUAGCUACAUCAUGUAAUUUGUACAGUUCAAUAGAAUGAUUUAAACUAUUGAUUGAGUUUAGAACACAUUUCAAGGGGUGCCAUAUAAAAAUAAGACUGAUUGGAUGAUACUAAUCCACCUAGAUUUAAUUUUUUUCAGCUUAUGAAGGCCUCUCUAAACUAGCCAUUUGCAUUGCAAAUAGUCCAUUUGUUUCAAAAUAUCUUUUUAAACAGUAGUUUCUCUUAUUCUCUUCUCCAUUUCCUUCUGCUCUUGAUUUGCAGCCAUGUCUUUCUGAAUGGUAAGAUUCUUCUGAUCCUUAAUUUGCUAGAUAUUUCCUCGUUGAGAAACUAUGAUUCUUUUAUAUCUGACUUCUUUUAGUAUCUGUAUUAGUUUUUUUUUUUCAUGUUUCUAUAGUUGAAAUAUAAUUCGUGUUUAUUUUUUUUGUCCUUUAUUUUUUUAAUGUUCUUGUUUGACUUUUCCUUAUAUACUUGUGUUGUCCAAGAAAUAAGUAGAUUUUGUAUCAUUUAUGGUUUGCUCUAACCUGAACUGAAUUUUUUUUCCACAUGAAAUUGAAAGUCCUUUUGGAUAGGGAUCCUACAGAAUUAGGAUUAAGCUCUAAUCUUGAUUUUGAUGACCCAAUCUGUUGGACCAAGCACUACUCUUCUCUUUCUCCCAUGCAUUUAUACCUUAUUUGUUUGGACAACUCAUGCGUCCUUUCACAGAAAAAUUGUGCAACAUUAUAAGGAUUUUCCUUUUCUUAGGGGCUGUGGGUACAUCUCACUUGAGAAUCUAUUAUUUUUUGCCAAUACUUAUCUGGUAAGACAGACCAGAUUUGUUCAUUCAUCUUUGUAAUUGAUUUCUCACUAGCAUGUUACUUUUGCCAUCAUGUUAUUUUAUUUUAAGCUGACUUUGCUGUCAGAUUUUUGCAUUGUUGAUUUAUUACUAAUUUUAUACAAACUCAAAAUGAAGGCUUCUUUUCAAAGUUAUUGUUCAAACUUGAAGGGAAGUGAGCCAUGUGGGAAUACCCAUUUGCUGUUGCAGGCAUCAAUGUUUCGUUUAUGCUUAUUCAAAGGAGAGUUGCAUCAAGUAAGAGAAUCAUGAUCUCCAACUAGCACAGGUGCAAACCUUAAAGGUGCAUACCUUAAAGGCUGAAAUAGAUAGAUACACCAAAUAUACUGGAAAAUCCUCUAUAGAGUUGGAAAAGUUUGACUGCAAAAACAAAUUUACUUUUGAGGUAUGUUGCUAUCUUUUCCUAAAUUUUUAUCUUGUUCAAGAUCCAACAAAUAUGGCAUGUGAUUUUGAUCUUCUUUUACAAGAUAGAUGCUCCUCUCAGAAAGAAGAAACAAGAAAACUACAACAUCAACUAGCACUUACAAACUAGAAAUUGCAGUUUCCUUUAUUACUCUCUGUAGCUUUUUUCUAGAUUGUACAAAUCCUUCAUGACUUUAAAAUUAGCUAU